UAUUAAGUACAUGCCUAUAGCAUUAAUUUGUCAGAUCCCAUUAGAACUUCAUAGUUAAGCGCACUUGGGCUAGAGUAGUAUUGGGAUGGGUGACCGCCCGGGAAGUCCUAGUGUUCUACAUGC
rfam:Picea glauca, whole genome shotgun sequence.